CAGGCCUAACACAUGCAAGUCGAGCGUAGGCGGUAAAGAUUUCGGUCUUUAGCCGACGAGGCGGCGGACGGGUGAGUAAAGUGUGGGGAUCUAUGUUGUGGAGGGGGACAACCAGUGGAGGCGGUAGGUAAUGCCGCAUAACGUCUUCGGACCAAAGUGGGGGACCGUCGGGCCUCACACCAUCGGAUGUGCCCAGAUGGGAUUAGGUAGUAGGUGGGGUAAUGGCUCACGUAGGCGACGAUCCCUAGCUGGUGUGAGAGGAUGACCAGCCACACUGGAACUGAGACACGGUCCAGACUCGUACGGGAGGCAGCAGUGGGGAAUAUUGCACAAUGGGCGCAAGCCUGAUGCAGCCAUGCCGCGUGUAUGAAGAAGGCCUUCGGGUUGUAAAGUACUUUCAGCGGGGAGGAAGGCGAUGUGGUUAAUAGCCGCAUCGAUUGACGUUACCCGCAGAAGAAGCACCGGCUAACUCCGUGCCAGCAGCCGCGGUAAU
rnacentral:rRNA from 1 species